GCCAUAUCAACGUGCAAAAUAGUAUUUGUAGACGUAGCAAUGUAGCAUUCCUCAAAUUGCGUUUUCACGGCCUAGCUUAUCCCAAAAUCCUCUCUCUCUCAAUGGUGUUAAUUGCCGCAAGAGGAAUAACGUCGAUCAUCCCUUCUGGAGUCAUGGUCAUCAUGAUUGCUGCUCUACUCCUACUCCUACUCCCUCAAACCUUUUGCCUUAAGAUAUUCUACUGUGAUACCUAUUCCGUUACUCCUUCAUCCUGCGCCAAUCACAGCAUAAGAUUUCCAUUUCGACUAAAAGGCGAAGCCACAAAAUGCAGUGGCCAAACUUAUGAGCUCUCAUGCGAGAACAACCAUGAAUUGCUGUUCUACUCUGAUCUUGGUGGAAAAUACUACGUGCAGCAACUCAAUUACGAUAACCGAACGAUCCGACUGGUAGAUUCGGGCAUUCAGGAGGAUAAUUACUCCUUCAUCCCUCGUUUUAUUAUAAACUAUAGCAAUUUGAGUCGGCUACAGGGCCGGGGUUUGUACUAUGAAACAGGGUAUGGUAUUACUUAUACUGCAAAGGGUAUGGACUAUGAAUCAUGGUAUGGUACUACUAUUGCAAAGGGCGUGGCUAUUGUGAACUGUAAAAAGCCAGUCAAGAGUAAUUCUACUUCCUAUUUGUAUUUGGAAACGUCUUCUUCAACAUGCUCUAAUAACGGAUCUGCGUCUUCUUCAAACUCCUCUAGUUUAUCAAUAUCCCAAUAUUCCAAAAGCUAUAUAUAUGUCAAAGUUGGCACAACUGAAGCGGGGGAUGUGGAGGAUUCCUGCAAAAUAGAGCGAAUGUUUCUGACAUCAUGGCCAGGACCAAAUGCUGCAGACAACAUUAAUAUUUCCUGUGCAGACCUCCGCAAUGUCUUCUUAUCUGGUUUUGAGCUUCAAUGGUUCAUUCCCGGUUUUUCGAGACUCGACACCAUAAGAUUACUUCUGUUUAUAGUAUACAGGCAUGGGGCAGCAACUGUACUAGGAACUCCAUUUGUUGUUGCGUUUCUUAUAUAUAAAUGGCGAAGGAGGCAUUUGUCAAUGUAUGAUGCCAUUGAAGAAUUUCUUCAAAACCACAAUAACCUUAUGACAAUAAGGUACUCUUUCUCGGAAAUUAAGAAGAUGACAAAAAAUUUUAAGGAAAAAUUGGGUGAAGGAGGCUAUGGAACAGUAUUUAAAGGAACUCUUCGAAGCGGACGUCAUGUAGCUGUAAAAAUGCUAGGCAAGUCCAAAGCAAACGGACAAGAAUUUACAAACGAAGUGGCAACCAUUGGAAGGAUUCAUCAUGUUAAUGUAGUUCAACUAAUUGGCUUUUGCUUUCAUGGAUCAAAGCGUGCUCUUGUAUACGAGUUCAUGCCACAUGGGUCUCUAAACAAUUACAUCUUUUCCUUGGAAGGAAGUAUCCUCCUAAGCUGUGAGAAAACAUAUAAUAUUGCUCUAGGGGUGGCUCGUGGAAUUGAAUAUUUACAUCGAGGAUGUGACAUGCAAAUUUUGCAUUUCGACAUCAAACCUCACAACAUCCUUCUUGACGAGAAUUUUACCCCUAAGGUUUCUGACUUUGGCUUAGCAAAAUUGUACUCAAAAGAAAACAAUACUAUUUCUUUGACUGCUGCAAGAGGGACAUUGGGAUAUAUGGCUCCAGAGUUAUUCUACAAAAACAUUGGAGGUAUUUCAUACAAGGCAGAUGUUUAUAGUUUUGGAAUGCUCUUAAUGGAAAUGGUGGGCAAAAGAAAGAAUAUAAAUGCAUUUGCAGAACAUUCAAGCCAGAUUUACUUUCCUACGUGGGUGUAUGAUCAAUUCCGCAAUGGUAAAGAUAUUGAACAAAUGGAAUGUGUCACUGAAGAGGAAAAAGAGAUAGUUAAGAAGAUGAUCAUUGUUGCAUUAUGGUGUAUACAAAUGAAUCCUUGGAAUCGUCCUUCUAUGAGCAAAGUUGUAGAAAUGCUUGAAGGAGAUGCUGAACAAUUACAAAUACCUCCCAAGGCUCCCCUUUCAUCGCCAGAGAGAGUGAUAAAAGAUUGUGAAGUCCAUAAUUCAAGUCAAACUUGGACAUCAUCAACUUCAUGAAGAAAAAGCUAGCAUCCAAAUUUUAAAUGCGGACACAGGCAUCUGUUUUCUCCUAUUUGGAUGCGAUGAAUAUGGGCUUUUGACACCAACGCUGAUACGUAAGCUUCCCUUGAUUUCUAAUAAUAACCUGAUGCAAUGGAUAACACUUCAUUAUCAGCCAAUGUUUAAUUUCAUUCUUCCGUUUCAGGUCCUUCAUUUAUUUUAAGCUCAUUUUGGCUUUCUUGCAAACCAGAUAUCGACGGCCCAUUGCUUCAUAUUUUCUGCUCGUUGUAGGUAUUUUCUUUCUUCCUUUUCUGUUGGUGGUUACGAUAGGGAUUUCACUAUAUUUUGUGAAUCCUUGGGAUUUCAUUUUCUGGGUUAGUCAUUGCAUUUGAUUCUUCACUCUUUUCUCAAUUUGGGAUUUCUCUUGGGUAAGAGAAAAAAAAUCCAUGCAUUCAACUACUGAUCUUUGAAAUGGAAGAUCGGGAACGCAGUUGUUACUAACAUCAAGCACU